GCCUGGCUGGCUCAGUUGGCAGAGCAUGUGACUCUUGAUCUUGGGGUUGUGGGUUUGAGCCCCACGUUGGGUU
rnacentral:tRNA from 1 species